UUACGGCCACAUCACGUUUAAAAACAGAUUCCCGUACGAUCAGCGAAGUUAAGCAGCGUUGGUCAGUACCUGGAUGGGUGACCGUGUGAGAAUACCGGGUGCUA